rnacentral:lncRNA from 1 species
AAAUAAUUGUUGGUUCAAAGCUUGUCUACCAUUCAAUUAUGACUAACUUUGAUGUGUUUUCACUAAGUGUAGGUUCAAGUUUUAAUACACCUACACCUAUGCAUACGGUUUUGUCAAGUUGUCAAGAAUUUCGAUUUUGAUUUUUGAUUUUGUUUUAUUUUGCAUUNUUGUCUACCAUUCAAUUAUGACUAACUUUGAUGUGUUUUCACUAAGUGUAGGUUCAAGUUUUAAUACACCUACACCUAUGCAUACGAUUUUGUCAAGUUGUCAAGAAUUUCGAUUUUGAUUUUUGAUUUUGUUUUAUUUUGCAUUUUGAUGUAUUUUUAUGUAUUUUAAAAAUUGGUGGGGAAUUGUAAGGAAAUUUUUAAAAUAAUAUAUUUUGUUUAUUGAUUUUUAGUGAAUGGAUGUGAUUCUUCGUGAAAGGAUGCAACCCAUAGUGAAUGGAUGCAACUCUUAAUGAAUGGAUGCAACCCUUAGUGAGUAGAUACAACUCUAAUCAAAGAGUGUGACUCUUAGAGUGAAAGGAUGUGAUUUUUAGUGAAAGGAUAUGAGAUGAAAAGACACAUCUUUAUAGUGUGUCUUUUCGUAUAUACGUCCGUUGGAAUUAAUUCUUAUAUUCAUUGAACUUGACUCAUAAAACGAAUUGGUAGUUAUGAUAAAAUAAAAAGUCACAAUUGAAGAGCCACUUCAUGAAACACCCGUUCAUGAAUAGUCACUUCAUGAAGCACCCGUUCGUGGUCUAUAUAAGUCCACAACGUUGGUUGCAGAAAGAAGAUAGAAAAACAGUUGAAGAGUUUAAGUCUCCAUUCACAAUAAUUAUAUUCUUGUUUUCUUAUUCUAUUUCUUUUGACAACUUAAUCAAAUGAGUGCUCAAAGGCUCGACUUCGUGUGUGCAAACGCAGUUGAGGUUUAUGCUUCAUUGUAUCCUGGGAGGCUGUUCGUUGACCCGGUACACACCAAAUUGUUAGAACGGUGGGGACGGAUUAAGCCUUAAGGAAAGUGGCAUUGCUACACGCUUUGAAGCCUUUUUCAUCUUUCUAUUUCAUACAUUUAUCACUAUCUGUUCACCUACCACCAUCAUCUCAACCCUAUAUCUCUUCAUCCAAUGAUUAAAAACUCAAAAGCAUCACUCCUUUGGUGCUUUUGAGAGUAUUCUAGCUCAACUAUAUAUACAGCAGGACUGCUGUGCUCUUAAGAGCACGGAGGCCUCCGUGCUCCUAAGCCGUUUUCGAUGAGGGAAUUUUCGAAUCGACGAUCGGCUCCGUUAGACUUGAUCUAGCGUAUUUGAAGUUUCUAGAAAAUAAUUUUUGUGAAUUUUUGAUAUCAUUUACCUAGUGAUCGAAAGGGUUCAAAAUCAAUAAUUUUUAAUGGUUGAUAUCUGCCAUUUUCAAGUUUAACAAUAUAAAAGUAUUCAAAUCAGAUGAAAUUUUGAUUAAAAUUUUUUAUACUAUCUACAACAAGAUCAAUAUUUCUGAUCGAAAAUUUUAGUGCUAUAUCACCACUUUUUAGGGGCCGUUUGGUUACAUGUAGUUGC